GGGGUGAAGUUAAACUGCAAACUAAGGUUGGAAAACCUGCUGCAGUCACUGAGCUGAAAUUACACGUUCACGAACAUAAUACGAUCAAAGUGAGCUGGCACAGACCCUCUACAUUCAACGGACCUGAGGGAAAAUAUAUAAUACGUCUAAAUACAGCUGAUGAUAAGGAAGUGACAAAGAAGGAGCUAGAAGGUACAAAAUAUGAAGUCGAAUUCAAAGAUCUGAGCUACUCUACGAGCUACAAAGUGAAGGUGACGGCUCACAACGGACACUAUGAGAGCAUCCCUCAAAUAAGUGAAAUCAGCACUUUGUACAACGACAAAGCUGUUAUUGGGUUUCGUGUCUUCCUCUUCAUCGU